rnacentral:rRNA from 1 species
GAUGAACGCUGGCGGCGUGCCUAAUACAUGCAAGUCGAGCGAACAGACGAGGAGCUUGCUCCUCUGACGUUAGCGGCGGACGGGUGAGUAACACGUGGAUAACCUACCUAUAAGACUGGGAUAACUUCGGGAAACCGGAGCUAAUACCGGAUAAUAUAUUGAACCGCAUGGUUCAAUAGUGAAAGACGGUUUUGCUGUCACUUAUAGAUGGAUCCGCGCCGCAUUAGCUAGUUGGUAAGGUAACGGCUUACCAAGGCAACGAUGCGUAGCCGACCUGAGAGGGUGAUCGGCCACACUGGAACUGAGACACGGUCCAGCCUCCUACGGGAGGCAGCAGUAGGGAAUCUUCCGCAAUGGGCGAAAGCCUGACGGAGCAACGCCGCGGGAGUGAUGAAGGUCUUCGGAUCGUAAAACUCUGUUAUUAGGGAAGAACAAAUGUGUAAGUAACUAUGCACGUCUUGACGGUACCUAAUCAGAAAGCCACGGCUAACUACGU